UCACCCUCAUCAUCCUCCUCAUCACAUUUAUCAGUAGUGUGUGUUCGUGACUGGGCUGGUGGGUGUGUACACUUGUCUGUGAAAUUAUGAAUGGGCUGUAGGAUGUGAGUAUGAGAGAGAGAGAGAGAGAGGAAAAAGGGAGGGAUGGAGAGACACUGCAUCAUGAAACGAGAAGAAUUCACUCACUGGCUGCUCACCUUCACAGACAGACAGACAGGAGAAGGGCAGCUGUUUAGGAAGAUCAGAUUGUGUUUGAGAAGACACUCAGUCUGAGCUCACGGCUAAAUCAUGGAUCAAAAGUCCACUUCACCCCAGAGACAAGCAGUGAAAAGCAGGUCGAAGUCUACAGAGGAAGUCCAGCAAGCUAAAAAGGCCUUCCACAUCCCCCAGAAAUCACUGCCUGGAGGGUCAGAGCUGGAAAAGGUGAAGGAGGGAGCAGAAGAAAAUGUGACUCCAGCAUCAUCCACAGAAGAGCUAAAGUGAUGCUGCCAUUAAUCUGUGUUUCUCACACACAUAAAGAUAAAUGCUUGGUUUUUAUAAAGAAGGUUUGGUAUAGUACAGUAAAAGCAUUAGCUCUUCAUUUUGUUGAAUGAUUUUCAAUACAGCUCAACAUGCAGAAUCAUGAAACCCGUCGACCUGCAGCACAUUCAGUCUGUUUGCAUUGCACACAUGUACACAGACAUGCUUUUUAUAUAAACGCAGUGCUUUCACUAUGAACAUCAGAGCAUGUAUGCUUUUACAAAAGAAGCUCAAGCAAAAUAAAAUCAGUGGUUAAUGCAAAUAAAUAUAAAAUUAUAGACUCAGUGAAAUUCAAAUUUGCAACUUUGUGGCAUUUAGUCUAAAUCUUUUAGCACAUCUAUAAUGUACAGUACAUGCAUUUUAAAUUUACAAUUUUUUUUUAUUUUUUAUUUUUUAGGCCCGUAUAUAAAAUUGUCCAAAUAAAUGCUCUCUAUAAAUGUACGUCUGACUAAAAAAAACAAAUAGAAUUUAUUUAUCAGUAUACUAAGUUUUAUUGUCAGUAUCAAGAUUUUUUUUUGUUUUUUAAAUUAACAGUAUCUAUGCGUUGUUGUUUUUUUUUUUUUUUUUUUUUUUGUUACCUCAUCAUAAUUGGGCAGGGCAAUUUCUGCAUAACCAGUAGGUGUUAAUGUGUAAAUUUUGGGUGUCUGACAUCAUAAAUCUACAGAGCUCCCCCAAAGAAACAUGGUGAUGGGAAAAAAUGAAAUGGAAGAAUUAUUUCACUAUGACUUUUAUGAGUUAAUGCAAUGGCAAUGAAAUGCUUUUUUUUUUUUUUUUUUUUUU